rnacentral:rRNA from 1 species
UCCGCAAUGGACGAAAGUGUGACGGAGACAACGCCGCGUGAACGAAGAAGGUGCUUCGGAGGUAAAGUUCUGUGAUUCGGGACGAAAGGGUUUGUGGUGAAUAAUCAUAGACAUUGACGGUACCGAAAAAGCAAGCCACGGCUAACUACGUGCCAGCAGCCGCGGUAAUACGUAGGUGGCAAGCGUUGUCCGGAAUUAUUGGGCGUAAAGCGCGCGCAGGCGGCUUCUUAAGUCCAUCUUAAAAGCGUGGGGCUCAACCCCAUGAGGGGGAUGGAAACUGGGAAGCUGGAGUAUCGGAGAGGAAAGUGGAAUUCCUAGUGUAGCGGUGAAAUGCGUAGAGAUUAGGAAGAACACCGGUGGCGAAGGCGACUUUCUAGACGAAAACUGACGCUGAGGCGCGAAAGCGUGGGGAGCAAACAGGAUUAGAUACCCUGGUAGUCCACGCCGUAAACGAUGGAUACUAGGUGUAGGAGGUAUCGACCCCUCCUGUGCCGGAGUUAACGCAAUAAGUAUCCCGCCUGGGAAGUACGAUCGCAAGAUUAAAACC